UCCAGAGCAGUAUCACCCUGCACCUUUCGUCUGGGUUCCCACUGAAGAUAAGCAGGGUUGAGUCUGGUUAGCAUGUGGCUGGGAGACCUCCUGGGGAAAACUAAGGUUGCUGCUGGAA
rnacentral:rRNA from 1 species